GAAGAUUGUUGAAAUUGCUUCAUUGACGUCAUUCACUUUGCCAGUUAACUAACGGACUUUGACUAACAGUGUAGUAGUAUAUGUUGUCGUAGAGAUCGUUGCAGUGAUGUUGAGUGUCUUUGUGUUGGUGAUGGUAGGCCUACUAGCAGCGGCCAUUGCAGAACCAGUGAAAAUUCUCAAACCAUUUCUGGGAAUGGAAAACGUAGAGAAGUAUCAAGGCACAAACAUGGACGAAGGAGGACGGGACUGAUUUCGUCACGAAAAUAACAUCGCUAAGAAAAAAGAAGGGCGAAUGCAGGACUUGAUCAGAUUUGACAAAGAUUUGAUCUUUACAAUAAACGUUGAUUUAUCUUG